GAUGAACGCUGACAGAAUGCUUAACACAUGCAAGUCUACUUGAACUUCGGUUUGGGUGGCGGCCGGGUGAGUAACGCGUACAGAACUUGCCUCACAGUUAGGGACAACAUUUGGAAACGAAUGCUAAUACCUGAUAUUAUGAUUUUAGGGCAUCCUAGGAUUAUGAAAGCUAUAUGUGCUGUGAGAGAGCUUUGCGUCCCAUUAGCUAGUUGGAGAGGUAACGGCUCACCAAGGCGAUGAUGGGUAGCCGGCCUGAGAGGGUGAACGGCCACAAGGGGACUGAGACACGGCCCUUACUCCUACGGGAGGCAGCAGUGGGGAAUAUUGGACAAUGGACCAAAAGUCUGAUCCAGCAAUUCUGUGUGCACGAUGACGUUUUUCGGAAUGUAAAGUGCUUUCAGUUGGGAAGAAAAAAAUGACGGUACCAACAGAAGAAGUGACGGCUAAAUACGUG
rnacentral:rRNA from 1 species